AGUGAACGCUGGCGGUAGGCCUAACACAUGCAAGUCGAACGGCAGCACAGUAAGAGCUUGCUCUUACGGGUGGCGAGUGGCGGACGGGUGAGGAAUACAUCGGAAUCUACUUUUUCGUGGGGGAUAACGUAGGGAAACUUACGCUAAUACCGCAUACGACCUACGGGUGAAAGCAGGGGACCUUCGGACCUUGCGCGAUUCAAUGAGCCGAUGUCGGAUUAGCUAGUUGGCGGGGUAACGGCCCACCAAGGCGACGAUUCGUAGCUGGUCUUAGAGGAUGAUCAGCCACACUGGAACUGAGACACGGUCCAGACUCCUACGGGAGGCAGCAGUGGGGAAUAUUGGACAAUGGGCGCGAGCCUGGUCCAGCCAUACCGCGUGGGUGAAGAAGGCCUUCGGGUUGUAAAGCCCUUUUGUUGGGAAAGAAAAGCAGCAGGUUAAUACCCCGCUGUUCUGACGGUACCCAAAGAAUAAGCACCGGCUAACUUCGUG
rnacentral:rRNA from 1 species